rnacentral:lncRNA from 1 species
CGUGCCAUCGUGCAAAUCAAAACAGAGGCCCUCUUAAUUAAAAUAUCUUACGUACUCAGUUAGCGCAGGAUCAUCACUUACCAUGUUUAUCUACCGACCGUGAACCGUUGUCUACUCGCUUAAUUUAUGGAUAAUAUUCAUGGUUGAAUCUUCCUUGUUUUUAUAUCGUAAGAAAUCAAGGAUAGUAUUCAUUGUAAGUCACCAUGGGGUGUUGCGAAUCCACAGACACCAGACCCAGGGGCGCCAAGAGCACGAGCAAAUCAGGCGGUGGAGAGAGAAUGAGGAUUCGAGCCCACCCAAUUUUCCCAAGGAUAAGGCUGGGAGGCGGUGGCAACACGAGGCACGGAUCCCCACGGAAAUCUGCAGGGAGAGGGACAAACGAGUUAUGAGAUGCUCAAGCGGUCAUCGUGAAGCUCAAGGAGUUUGCAGUGGCUACAUGCUUGAAUUACACCCACCUUUGCUGGGUGUUUACUGCUGACUGCCAGCUCUGUUUUUACCGGUCAGUGGCUGCUCUUAAGGAUCAAACAAUACAUUCAAUCCACCGUGGUCAUGCCUUCUGAGCAGGUUUUUGCCAGCACUUGAAUAAAACAAGAUAGCCAUAUUUGCCUUCGAGUGAAAAACAGGUCAUCCAAGUUGAUGAGGUUCUGUGCUUUAAUGUGCUCAGGUAACAGAACAUGGGGUCCAAAAAAAAAGAUACCCAGACAUCCCCCUUGCUGAAAUAUUGCUUCCCAGUACAUGAUGAACUGUGUGGUGAGUGCCAACAUGACAUGGGUAGGUUUACAGAAUCUAGCCUGCAGUGAACGGAACAGUACAAAAUGUCCUUUCCUCAUCAGGAUUCCCUGUCCAAUGACAGACCUCUUCCAUUAAGAGAUCUUCUUGCAAUGGAUGCAACAAGAUGCAACAAAAUUACAAUCAAAAGGUACUCCAGUGUUGUCUUAUAUAUCCUGUAUACGUAUUUGGCUUCUUAUUUUCCAUUUUGCAAUAUAAUUAUUAUAAAUAGUUGAGUGUUAAUGCACCUGUUACAUAACUGUCACUUACUCUUGCCAUGUUUUUUGGCUGAUGUGUUAUAUAUGUAAGCUGCACUUGAUACUUUAUUCUAGUUGCGUUAACCAAAGGUUUCCAAUAUGUAUGUAGUAUGGAGUGUUUACAAGUAUGAUUUGGUAUUUUCUUUCCAUUAAUUCUUUGGAGGUAAACACUUAUACAUUUUUGAAAAAUAUAUACUAUAGGUAUUUAUUAGUCAAAUGGUAACAGUGAUGUCAUGAGGUGAAUGUUCUAUUCCACAGGGCAAAAUUGAGUGGAAUGGAACAUUCAGUCUUCCAUCAGAUGAAAUUAUUCUUUCAGUUUUACAAAUGUAAUGAUUCAUUAUUUGUUUUGUCUAACAUCUGAAUAUUCUCUUUGUGCAGAAGUUGUUACAUUCCCAAUCGGUUUAUGGUUCAGGAGAUGUUCCUGGGUGUCUUACAAAUUGUUGGACAACACUUCAUUUGCUUCGUUAAACAUUACUUGCAGAUUCGGAAAUUUCUUCAUCAGUUAAAAGAAGGACUGGUAUUUUUGCCUUUAUUGUAAGCCAUCUUCAGUUUUAUAUAAAGGGCUGCAUUAAGACACAUUUAACAAUUUCACCAAACUAAGUCCCAUGCAUUGCUUAUAUUUGCAUUGUUUUGUGAUGCGGACAUGUUCCAGAAAUUGUUUAGAAUACCUUCCUGUUGGUUGAUUUUGCCUGACCUACCCUGCAGUUGAAGAUGGGGAUUUAUUAAGGCAGUUAAUCAUUCCAGUGCUGAAGGUUUGGGGGAAGGUUUGCAGCUGAAUCUGGGGUGUUAACAUCUGAAAUUUUAUUCGCAAUUCAAACGAAGAGACCAGUAAGCUUUCAAACUUCUCACUGAAAUAAUGUGUAGGUUUGAAGUACGGUACAUUCAAGGUGUUGGUCCUUGCGUUUUGAGUGUGUGAACCUGAAAACAAGAUUUUCAAAUGGAAUGGCUGAUUUUGUUCCAUCAUCAGAUAUUUAAUUAGCUCCUCAAUGAAAUGUAACUGAUUAAAUAAGUUUAAGUUUUGAACUAGGAGCAUUCCACUUCCAUUGGCUAUGGCUUAUCAACCCAGUAGGGUACAGAGGGGUGUAAUUACAAGAAAUAUGCAGUGAAAAUAAAUUCAGCUCAAACUGUUUUUUUUUACACGACUUUGUUUCAGAAAUACAAACAAGAUUUCAAUAGUUCUUUUCAUCGGAAGUGACAAGAAUUAUUUUUUCCAUUCGUCGAAAAUCCUUUUAUCAAUACUUUUUAAAUGGCACUGUUUUGCUUUUUGUCACGCAAGGGACUCCUUGUUAUAAGUGCAUAAGAAGUUCGUCCUGAAAUGUACAUACUAAGAAAGCUUUGACAAAAUAUUGGCCAUUUCUAUUGACCAAAGACACUCCUUAACACAAUAAACAAGUAAAAAGUAGCACUUACUUCAAGAAAAUGAAUAAGAGUGUGAUGUACAUUUUGUAAACAGAGCCAUGGAGAUACUACUUACUUUUGCCUUGGAUGACAUCGUGCUUUGUGUCAUGAAUAUGAAAUUUUUUGGUAGCAUAAGAACAAAAUGUUGAAGUUUUUGCCUUAUACUGAUUCAAGGAGGUGAACAUGCUUUGUAACAUUGCAAGAAAACCUUUCUACAUUUUUUACAGUAAUAAAAAGCCUAUUUCAUUUCUCCUCUAAGUGUA